rnacentral:rRNA from 1 species
UACGGAAGGCAGCAGUGGGGAAUAUUGCACAAUGGGCGAAAGCCUGAUGCAGCUAUGCCGCGUGUAUGAAGAAGGCCUUAGGGUUGUAAAGUACUUUCAUCGGGGAGGAAAAAACAAAACUAAUAAUUUUAUUUCUUGACGUUACCCGAAAAAGAAGCACCGGCUAACUCCGUGCCAGCAGCCGCGGUAAUACGGAGGGUGCUAGCGUUAAUCAGAAUUACUGGGCGUAAAGAGCACGUAGGUGGUUUUUUUAAGUCAGAUGUGAAAUCCCUGGGCUUAACCUGGAACUGCAUUUUGAAACUGAAAUACUAGAGUAUCGUAGAGGGAGGUAGAAUUCUAGGUGUAGCGGUGAAAUGCGUAGAUAUCUGGAGGAAUACCUGUGGCGAAAGCGGCCUCCUAAACGAAUACUGACACUGAGGUGCGAAAGCGUGGGGAGCAAACAGGAAUUAGAUACC